rnacentral:rRNA from 1 species
UUGGAGGGCAAGUCUGGUGCCAGCAGCCGCGGUAAUUCCAGCUCCAAUAGCGUAUAUUAAAGUUGUUGCAGUUAAAAAGCUCGUAGUUGAAUUUCGGGAUCAAUAUGUCUGUCGUGCCUUCGGUACGUACGGGUAUAAUUGGUUUCUACCUUCUGAUGAACCUUGAUGCCAUUAAUUUGGUGUCUUGGGGACUCAGGACUGUUACCUUGAAAAAAUUAGAGUGUUUAAAGCAGGCAUACGCUUGAAUACAUUAGCAUGGAAUAAUGAAAUAGGACGUUCGAUUCUAUUUUGUUGGUUUCUAGGAUCGACGUAAUGAUUAAUAGGGAUAGUUGGGGGCAUUAGUAUUCAAUUGUCAGAGGUGAAAUUCUUGGAUUUAUUGAAGACUAACUACUGCGAAAGCAUUUGCCAAGGAUGUUUUCAUUAAUCAAGAACGAAAGUUAGGGGAUCGAAGACGAUCAGAUACCGUCGUAGUCUUAACCAUAAACUAUGCCGACUAGGGAUCGGAUGAUGUUAAUUUUUUAAUGACUCAUUCGGCGCCUUACGGGAAAC